UACGUAGGGUGCGAGCGUUAAUCGGAAUUACUGGGCGUAAAGCGUGCGCAGGCGGUUAUGCAAGACAGAUGUGAAAUCCCCGGGCUCAACCUGGGAACUGCAUUUGUGACUGUAGAGCUGGAGUGCGGCAGAGGGGGAUGGAAUUCCGCGUGUAGCAGUGAAAUGCGUAGAUAUGCGGAGGAACACCGAUGGCGAAGGCAAUCCCCUGGGCCUGCACUGACGCUCAUGCACGAAAGCGUGGGGAGCAAACAGG
rnacentral:rRNA from 1 species